rnacentral:rRNA from 1 species
GAUUAGAUACCGUGGUAGUCCACGCCGUAAACGAUGAGUGCUAGGUGUUAGGCCCUUUCCGGGGCUUUGUGCCGGAGCUAUCGCAGUAAGCACUCCGCCUGGGGAGUACGACCGCAAGGUUGAAACUCAAAGGAAUUGACGGGGGCCCGCACAAGCGGUGGAGCAUGUGGUUUAAUUCGAAGCAACGCGAAGAACCUUACCAGGUCUUGACAUCCCGAUGCUAUUGUUAGAGAUAGGAAGUUACAUCGGUACAUCGGAGACAGGUGGUGCAUGGUUGUCGUCAGCUCGUGUCGUGAGAUGUUGGGUUAAGUCCCGCAACGAGCGCAAGCCUUAUUGUUAGUUGCCCUCAUUAAGUUUGGCACUCUAGCGCGACUGCCGGUAAUAAACCGGAGGAAGGUGGGGAUGACGUCAAAUCAUCAUGCCCCUUAUGACCUGGGCUCCACACGUGCUUCAAUGGUCGGUACAACGAGUUGCGAGUCGGUGACGGCAAGCUAAUCUCUGAAAGCCGAUCUCAGUUCGGAUUGGAGGCUGCAACUCGCCUCCAUGAAGUCGGAAUCGCUAGUAAUCGCGGAUCUGCACGCCGCGGUGAAUACGUUCCCGGGCCUUGUACACACCGCCGGUCACACCACGAGAGUUUGAAACACCCGAAGUCGGUGAGGUAACCUUUUAGGGGCCAGCCGCCUAAGGUGGGAUGGAUGAUUGGGGUGAAGUCGUAACAAGGUAGCCGU